AAAACGACUCUCGGCGCAACGGAUAUCUCGGCUCUCACUACAUCGAUGAAGAACGUAGCGAAAUGCGAUAUUUGCGACCUGUGAAUUGCAGAAUCCCGUGAACCAUCCGAGGUCUUUGAACACAAAGUUGCGCCCAAACACCUUCUGGCCGAGGAGCACGUCUGCCUGGGUGUCACAA
rnacentral:rRNA from 1 species